GAUGAACGCUGGCUGUGUGCCUAAUACAUGCAUGUCGAGCGAAGCACUUUUGUGCUUAGCGGCGAAUGGGUGAGUAACACGUACUUAACCUACCCUCAAGAUUGGGACAACACUUGGAAACGAGUGCUAAUACCAAAUACGUAUUUUUAUCGCAUGAUAGAUAUAUAAAAGGAGCCUCGGCUUCACUAGAGGAUGGGAGUGCGCUACAUUAGUUAGUUGGUAGGGUAAUGGCCUACCAAGACUAUGAUGUAUAGCGGGGCCGAGAGGCUGAUCCGCCACACUGGGACUGAGAUACGGCCCAGACUCCUACGGGAGGCAGCAGUAGGGAAUUUUCCACAAUGAACGAAAGUUUGAUGGAGCGACACAGCGUGCAGGAUGAAGGUCUUCGGAUUGUAAACUGCUGUUAUAAGAGAAGAAAAACCCUGGUAGGUAAUGACCAGGACUUGACGGUACCUUAUCAGAAAGCGACGGCUAACUAUGUGCCAGCAGCCGCGGUAAUACAUAGGUCGCAAGCGUUAUCCGGAAUUAUUGGGCGUAAAGAGUUCGUAGGUGGUUUUGUAAGUCUGAAGUUAAAUACCGGGGCUCAACCCCGGCCCGCUUUGGAUACUGCAAAACUAGAGUAAUAGAGAGGUUAGUGGAACUCCAAGUGAAGCGGUGGAAUGCGUAGAUAUUUGGAAGAACACCAAUGGCGAAGGCAACUAACUGGAUAUUAACUGACACUGAGGAACGAAAGCGUGGGUAGCAAACAGG
rnacentral:rRNA from 1 species